rnacentral:rRNA from 1 species
GAUGAACGCUAGCUACAGGCUUAACACAUGCAAGUCGAGGGGAAACGAUAGAGAAGGCUUGCUUUUUCUAGGCGUCGACCGGCGCACGGGUGAGUAACGCGUAUCCAACCUGCCCACCACUUGGGGAUAACCUUGCGAAAGUAAGACUAAUACCCAAUGACAUCUCUAGAAGACAUCUGAAGGAGAUUAAAGAUUUAUCGGUGAUGGAUGGGGAUGCGUCUGAUUAGCUUGUUGGCGGGGUAACGGCCCACCAAGGCGACGAUCAGUAGGGGUUCUGAGAGGAAGGUCCCCCACAGUGGAACUGAGACACGGUCCAAACUCCUACGGGAGGCAGCAGUGAGGAAUAUUGGGCAAUGGGCGAGAGCCUGAACCAGCCAAGUAGCGUGCAGGAUGACGGCCCUAUGGGUUGUAAACUGCUUUUAUAAGGGAAUAAAGUGAGCCUCGUGAGGCUUUUUGCAUGUACCUUAUGAAUAAGGACCGGCUAAUUCCGUGCCAGCCGCCGCGGUAA